UACAGGGGGUGCAAACGUUGCUCGGAAUUAUUGGGCGUAAAGCGCGUGUAGGCGGCUUUGCAAGUCGGGUGUGAAAGCCCUCGGCUCAACCGAGGAAGUGCGCCCGAAACUGCAGAGCUUGAGUACCGGAGAGGAUGGCGGAAUUCCCCAAGUAGAGGUGAAAUUCGUAGAUAUUGGGUGGAACACCGGUGGCGAAAGCGGCUCUCUGGUCCGGACCUGACGCUGAGGCGCGAAAGCGUGGGGAGCAAACAGG
rnacentral:rRNA from 1 species